rnacentral:rRNA from 1 species
UUAACGCUGAGGUGUGAUGACGAGGCACUACGGUGCUGAAGUGAUAAAUGCCCUGCUUCCAGGAAAAGCCUCUAAGCAUCAGGUAACACGAAAUCGUACCCCAAACCGACACAGGUGGUCAGGUAGAGAAUACCAAGGCGCUUGAGAGAACUCGGGUGAAGGAACUAGGCAAAAUGGUGCCGUAACUUCGGGAGAAGGCACGCUGAUAUGUAGGUGAAGCCCCUGCGGGCGGAGCUGAAAUCAGUCGAAGAUACCAGCUGGCUGCAACUGUUUAUUAAAAACACAGCACUGUGCAAACACGAAAGUGGACGUAUACGGUGUGACGCCUGCCCGGUGCCGGAAGGUUAAUUGAUGGGGUUAGCGGCAACGCGAAGCUCUUGAUCGAAGCCCCGGUAAACGGCGGCCGUAACUAUAACGGUCCUAAGGUAGCGAAAUUCCUUGUCGGGUAAGUUCCGACCUGCACGAAUGGCGUAAUGAUGGCCAGGCUGUCUCCACCCGAGACUCAGUGAAAUUGAACUCGCUGUGAAGAUGCAGUGUACCCGCGGCAAGACGGAAAGACCCCGUGAACCUUUACUAUAGCUUGACACUGAACACUGGUCCUUGAUGUGUAGGAUAGGUGGGAGGCUUUGAAGCGUGGACGCCAGUCUGCGUGGAGCCAACCUUGAAAUACCACCCUUUAAUGGCUGGUGUUCUAACGUAGACCCGUAAUCCGGGUUGCGGACAGUGUCUGGUGGGUAGUUUGACUGGGGCGGUCUCCUCCCAAAGAGUAACGGAGGAGCACGAAGGUUGGCUAAUCCUGGUCGGACAUCAGGAGGUUAGUGCAAUGGCAUAAGCCAGCUUGACUGCGAGCGUGACGGCGCGAGCAGGUGCGAAAGCAGGUCAUAGUGAUCCGGUGGUUCUGAAUGGAAGGGCCAUCGCUCAACGGAUAAAAGGUACUCCGGGGAUAACAGGCUGAUACCGCCCAAGAGUUCAUAUCGACGGCGGUGUUUGGCACCUCGAUGUCGGCUCAUCACAUCCUGGGGCUGAAGUAGGUCCCAAGGGUAUGGCUGUUCGCCAUUUAAAGUGGUACGCGAGCUGGGUUUAGAACGUCGUGAGACAGUUCGGUCCCUAUCUGCCGUGGGCGCUGGAGAAUUGAGGGGGGCUGCUCCUAGUACGAGAGGACCGGAGUGGACGCAUCACUGGUGUUCGGGUUGUCAUGCCAAUGGCACUGCCCGGUAGCUAAAUGCGGAAGAGAUAAGUGCUGAAAGCAUCUAAGCACGAAACUUGCCCCGAGAUGAGUUCUCCCUGAGACCUUGAGUCUCCUGAAGGAACGUUGAAGACGACGACGUUGAUAGGUCGGGUGUGUAAGCGCAGCGAUGCGUUGAGCUAACCGAUACUAAUGAACCGUGAGGCUUAACCUU